rnacentral:tRNA from 1 species
AUCAGGAUAGCCUAGAGGUUCAAGGCUCUGCGUUCAGGUCGCAGUCCACUCUGUGGGUGUGGGUUUGAAUCCCACUCCUGACA